GAUUCUGGCUCAGAACGAACGCUGGUGGCGUGUCUAUACAUGCAAGUCGAGCGAGGUAGCAAUACCUAGCGGCGAACGGGUGAGUAACGCGUAAGCAAUCUGCCCCAUAUCAGGAAAUACCCGUGCCAACGCGCGGUUAAUGUCCAGGAGAGUGGCCCCCUGCAUGGGGGGUUGACUAGAAAUUUAUCGGUAUGGGAUGAGCUUGCGUCCGAUUAGCUAGUGGCGGGCAACGGCCCACCAAGGCGACGAUCGGUAGCCGGCCUGAGAGGGUGAUCGGCCACAUUGGGACUGAGAUACGGCCCAGACUCCUACGGGAGGCAGCAGUAGGGAAUAUUGCACAAUGGGGGAAACCCUGAUGCAGCAACGCCACGUUGUGGGAAGAAGCAUUUCGGUGUGUAAACCACUGUCGUGAGGGAAUAAUGUUGGCUUUCGGGCCAAUUGAAUGUACCUUGAAAGGAAGCACCGGCAAACUUCGUGCCAGCAGCCGC
rnacentral:rRNA from 1 species